AGCUCUGUAGUGAAGUUCAUGCCGGGUUGCAAACCCGGAGACGCAGAGUAAAAUCUGCCGGGGCUU
rnacentral:tRNA from 1 species